AUGGAGUCACAGACCCAGGUCCUCAUGUUCCUGCUGCUCUGGGUGUCUGGUGCCUGUGCAGAUAUCAUAAUGACCCAGUCUCCAUCUUCCCUGGCUGUGUCAGUAGGAGAGAAGGUCACCAUCAGCUGCAAGUCCAGUCAGAGUCUUUUAUACAGUGAAAACCAGAAGAGCUACUUGAACUGGUACCAGCAGAAACCAGGGCAAUCUCCUAAACUGCUAGUCUACUGGGCAUCCACUCGGGACUCUGGAGUCCCUGAUCGCUUCAUAGGCAGUGGAUCUGGAACAGACUUCACUCUCACCAUCAGUAGUGUCCAGGCUGAAGACCUGGCAGAUUACUACUGUAUGCAGGAUUAUGAUCCUCCUCCCACAGUGCUUCAGCUGCCAACAAAAUCUUCUCUGAGAGUCUCUCCAGCUGCCUGCACCACACAUAGCCCUGGACAUGCACACUUUCACUUCCCCCCUUCUGCCUGA